AGGUCUUGACAUCCCGAUGCUAUUUCUAGAGAUAGAAAGUUACUUCGGUACAUCGGUGACAGGUGGUGCAUGGUUGUCGUCAGCUCGUGUCGUGAGAUGUUGGGUUAAGUCCCGCAACGAGCGCAACCCCUAUUGUUAGUUGCCAUCAUUCAGUUGGGCACUCUAGCGAGACUGCCGGUAAUAAACCGGAGGAAGUGGGGAUGACGUCAAAUCAUCAUGCCCCUUAUGACCUGGGCUACACACGUGCUACAAUGGUUGGUACAACGAGUUGCGAGUCGGUGACGGCGAGCUAAUCUCUUAAAGCCAAUCUCAGUUCGGAUUGUAGGCUGCAACUCGCCUACAUGAAGUCGGAAUCGCUAGUAAUCGCGGAUCAGCACGCCGCGGUGAAUACGUUCCCGGGCCUU
rnacentral:rRNA from 1 species